rnacentral:rRNA from 1 species
GAUGAACGCUGGCGGCGUGCCUAAUACAUGCAAGUCGAGCGAACAGACGAGGAGCUUGCUCCUCUGACGUUAGCGGCGGACGGGUGAGUAACACGUGGAUAACCUACCUAUAAGACUGGGAUAAUUUCGGGAAACCGGAUCUAAUACCGGAUAAUAUAUUGAACCGCAUGGUUCAAUAGUGAAAGUCGGUUUUGCUGUCACUUAUAGAUGGAUCCGCGCCGCAUUAGCUAGUUGGUAAGGUAACGGCUUACCAAGGCAACGAUGCGUAGCCGACCUGAGAGGGUGGUCGGCCACCUGGGAACGGAGACAGGGACCAGACGCCUACGGGAGGCAGCAGUCGGGAAUCUUCCGCAAUGGGGGAAAGCCUGACGGAGCAACGCCGCGUGAGUGAUGAAGGUGUUCGGAUCGGAAAACUCUGUUAUUAGGGAAGAACAAAUGUGUAAGUAACUAUGCACGUCUUGACGGUACCUAAUCAGAAAGCCACGGCUAACUACGUG